rnacentral:rRNA from 1 species
GCAUAUCAAUAAGCGGAGGAAAAGAAACCAACAGGGAUUACCUCAGUAACGGCGAGUGAAGCGGUAACAGCUCAAAUUUGAAAUCUGGCCUCACGGUCCGAGUUGUAAUUUGUAGAGGAUGCUUCGAGCAUGGUCUGGCCUAAGUUCCUUGGAACAGGACGUCAUAGAGGGUGAGAAUCCCGUAUGCGGUCAGGUGCCUACGCUCAUGUGAAGCUCCUUCGACGAGUCGAGUUGUUUGGGAAUGCAGCUCAAAAUGGGUGGUAAAUUUCAUCUAAAGCUAAAUAUUGGCCAGAGACCGAUAGCGCACAAGUAGAGUGAUCGAAAGAUGAAAAGCACUUUGGAAAGAGAGUUAAACAGUACGUGAAAUUGUUGAAAGGGAAGCGCUUGCAACCAGACUUGCGCGCGGCCGAUCAUCCGGUGUUCUCACCGGUGCACUCGGCCGUGCUCAGGCCAGCAUCGGUUUUGGCGGCUGGAUAAAGGCCCUAGGAAUGUAGCUCCUCUCGGGGAGUGUUAUAGCCUAGGGUGCAAUGCAGCCUGCUGGGACCGAGGACCGCGCUUCGGCUAGGAUGCUGGCGUAAUGGUUGUAAGCGGCCCGUCUUGAAACACGGACCAAGGAGUCUAACAUCUAUGCGAGUGUUUGGGUGUCAAACCCAUACGCGUAAUGAAAGUGAACGGAGGUGAGAACCCUUAAGGGUGCAUCAUCGACCGAUCCUGAUGUCUUCGGAAGGAUUUGAGUAAGAGCAUAGCUGUUGGGACCCGAAAGAUGGUGAACUAUGCCUGAAUAGGGUGAAGCCAGAGGAAACUCUGGUGGAGGCUCGCAGCGGUUCUGACGUGCAAAUCGAUCGUCAAAUUUGGGUAUAGGGGCGAAAGACUAAUCGAACCAUCUAGUAGCUGGUCUGCGA